CUGAUGGCUCAUCCCCAGAGGCAACAUCAGCUGUACUACGGCAGUACUACAGCAGCUACACAGCAGUACUAUAGCAGCUAGGAAACUCCGGAUCCUGUCGGCAGGUCCUGGUGGACCGGGACCUGUCCCGGACCGUCCUCGCUUCGGUCCAAACGCCGGUCCGGAACCAAAACAAGAGGCCAGCUAGCAGCUAGGCUAACAGCUCCUACCUUCUCGGUGAUCGGGGCUUCAGGCGGCGGACAGACUCAACCAGCCGGGGAACGGGCCGUCAGAGCCGGUUCGGGGAGUUCAUGAAUCCGGUUCGGACGGGAUAAACGGGGUUCAACAAAGUCCCGAAAAAUUCUACCGAACCCGCCUGGUUGAGGAGCCGCAGCGGCUGCUGUGCUCCGCCAUCUUGUUUCUGUGUGUGAGGGGACGGGGGGGGUUACUAUAGCAGUGAGGACCGGCUGCGUCCUGCCGGUCCGCACUGCUGCCGUAGGACCUGUGCGUGUUGCUGACCUUUCUGUGAUAAAAUGGACCUGGUUCCGACCGGUAGCAGAAUCGAACCAGCGUUGCUGUGUGGUGGGAUUCAUAUUCUGAGCAGAUUAUAAUCUGCAGGAACAGAACUACAUCCGGCCUCCUUCCCCACACAGACUCAGAUACUCCUCCAGAAAUAAACCCUGUUCAUUAAUAAAUGUGACCUCUGACCUCUUGCUGAUGAUGGCGACAGCUCUUGGGUUCUUUCCAGGAUGACAUGACCUCUGACCCUGCAUCACCUUCUGCUCUCAGGUUCCUUCUACUGCUGUCAUUUAGAAAUCAGUAGUGGUUCUAACUUAUUAAGUAGAUACUUUCUGGUUCCUUCCAGAACUUUUUGUUAUGAUCUUGCUGCGGUUUGGACCAGAACCGGGCCAGCUGCUUGUGCCCUACAUGACUCUAGUCUCUGUCAACUUGUUUUGUGUGGAAAAGCAUUUUACUCUUAAAGUGAAACCUCAUGUCUGAAUGAGAGUAAAGGUGAAAUAAAUAAAAUCUGGAGCUUUAUUGAUAAAUUAAUAUAAUAAUAUGGAGUGAAAAUAGUCUCAAAAUACCUGUGUGUGUGUAAUUCUGGAUUUAUAAUCCAUAAGUAACUUUGGAUGGUUGUAUCUGUGAAACAUGAUUUGUAAACCCUAAAAAAAAUUGUGCGUAACUCUGUUUACUUGUAAAUAUGUGGUAAAAUGCACAAAUAUAAAAAAUUACGAAUACAAAAUAAAA